GAUGAACGUUAGCGGCAGGCUUAAUACAUGCAAGUCGAGGGGUAGAGGAAGCUUGCUUCCUUGAGACCGGCGCACGGGUGCGUAACGCGUAUGCAAUCUACCUUGUACAGGGGGAUAGCCCAGAGAAAUUUGGAUUAAUACCCCAUAGUAUUAUUGAAUGGCAUCAUUUGAUUAUUAAAGUUCCAACGGUACAAGAUGAGCAUGCGUCCCAUUAGCUAGUUGGUGUGGUAACGGCACACCAAGGCGACGAUGGGUAGGGGUCCUGAGAGGGAGAUCCCCCACACUGGUACUGAGACACGGACCAGACUCCUACGGGAGGCAGCAGUGAGGAAUAUUGGUCAAUGGGCGCAAGCCUGAACCAGCCAUGCCGCGUGCAGGAUGACGGUCCUAUGGAUUGUAAACUGCUUUUGUACAGGAAGAAACACUCCCUCGUGAGGGAGCUUGACGGUACUGUAAGAAUAAGGAUCGGCUAACUCCGUGCCAGCAGCCGCCGCAGUAA
rnacentral:rRNA from 1 species